AAAGUUUGAAUUGAGACAAGAGAGCCUGCAAAUCGUUAAAUCUACCUAUCCUCUACCAGACCCACAAGAGGUUAGCACAGAAGCCAUUAAUCUAGUUGUGAACAAAGUAACAGAGUUGGGUGAAGAAUGGGAGAAUCCUCUGAGAAGCCUAAAGAGGAAAUCGAAGAAGAAAAAGGCAAGGACCCUAGCAGUCAGUGUUAAUGAGAAAUUUAUGGUUGCAGAUGAAGAGAAAAGAACGGAUGGGAUACUCUUUUCCCAUUCAGAUCACGAGAGUGAGAGAGGCAAAUUAAAGGAUGAUAUGCACAAGAAAUACUGUACAGAUUCUGAGGGUCCAGCAAUCCGGGAAAAACAGGCCAGAAAAGGGGCUCUACCAGGGUGGUAAUUCGUCCUUCCAAAUUUAAAUUAUGA